AGCUUUGCGCAGUGGCAGUAUCAUAGCCAAUGAGGUUUAUCCGAGGCUCGAUUAUUGCUAAUUAAAAAAAGAAUUAUCUCCCUGAAGCUUUCAUUUUAAAAGAUGGCCCAGAUAAGAGUUCCAGAAGACCAGGUAUUCACCU